AUUGAACGCUGGCGGCAUGCCUUACACAUGCAAGUCGAACGGCAGCACGGGAGCAAUCCUGGUGGCGAGUGGCGAACGGGUGAGUAAAGUAUCGGAACGUGCCCAGUCGUGGGGGAUAACGUAGCGAAAGUUACGCUAAUACCGCAUACGAUCUACGGAUGAAAGCGGGGGAUCGCAAGACCUCGCGCGAUUGGAGCGGCUGAUAUCAGAUUAGGUAGUUGGUGGGGUAAAGGCUCACCAAGCCGACGAUCUGUAGCUGGUCUGAGAGGACGACCAGCCACACUGGGACUGAGACACGGCCCAGACUCCUACGGGAGGCAGCAGUGGGGAAUUUUGGACAAUGGGCGCAAGCCUGAUCCAGCCAUGCCGCGUGCAGGAUGAAGGCCUUCGGGUUGUAAACUGCUUUUGUACGGAACGAAAAGGUUUGGCCUAAUAAGCUGGACCCAUGACGGUACCGUAAGAAUAAGCACCGGCUAACUCCGUGCCAGCAGCCGCAGUAA
rnacentral:rRNA from 1 species